rnacentral:rRNA from 1 species
UACGUAGGGCGCGAGCGUUGUCCGGAAUCAUUGGGCGUAAAGAGCUCGUAGGCGGCCUGUCGCGUCUGCUGUGAAAUCCCGGGGCUCAACCCCGGGCGUGCAGUGGGAUACGGGCUGGCUGGAGGCAGGCAGGGGAGAACGGGAAUUCCCGGUGUAGCGGUGAAAUGCGCAGAUAAUCGGGAGGAACACCGGUGGCGAAGG